rnacentral:rRNA from 1 species
UACAGAGGUCUCAAGCGUUGUUCGGAUUCAUUGGGCGUAAAGAGCGCGCAGGCGGUCGAUCAAGUCGAGUGUGAAAGCCCCCGGCUCAACUGGGGAGGGUCAUUCGAAACUGAUCGACUUGAAGGCAGGAGAGGGUAGUGGAAUUCCCGGUGUAGUGGUGAAAUGCGUAGAUAUCGGGAGGAACACCAGUGGCGAAGGCGACUACCUGGCCUGUUCUUGACGCUGAGGCGCGAAAGCUAGGGGAGCAAACGGG